rnacentral:rRNA from 1 species
GAUGAACGCUGGCGGCGUGCCUAAUACAUGCAAGUCGAGCGAACGGACGAGAAGCUUGCUUCUCUGAUGUUAGCGGCGGACGGGUGAGUAACACGUGGAUAGCCUACCUAUAAGACUGGGAUAACUUCGGGAAACCGGAGCUAAUACCGGAUGAUAUUUUGAACCGCAUGGUUCAAAAGUGAAAGACGGUCUUGCUGUCACUUAUAGAUGGAUCCGCGCUGCAUUAGCUAGUUGGUAAGGUAAUGGCUUACCAAGGCAACGAUGCAUAGCCGACCUGAGAGGGUGAUCGGCCACACUGGAACUGAGACACGGUCCAGACUCCUACGGGAGGCAGCAGUAGGGAAUCUUCCGCAAUGGGCGAAAGCCUGACGGAGCAACGCCGCGUGAGUGAUGAAGGUCUUCGGAUCGUAAAACUCUGUUAUUAGGGAAGAACAUAUGUGUAAGUAACUGUGCACAUCUUGACGGUACCUAAUCAGAAAGCCACGGCUAACUACGUG